UGGGGAAUUUUGGACAAUGGGCGAAAGCCUGACGCAGCCAUGCCGCGUGUAUGAUGAAGGUCUUAGGAUUGUAAAAUACUUUCACCGGUGAAGAUAAUGACUGUAGCCGGAGAAGAAGCCCCGGCUAACUUCGUGCCAGCAGCCGCGGUAAUACGAAGGGGGCUAGCGUUGCUCGGAAUUACUGGGCGUAAAGGGAGCGUAGGCGGACAUUUAAGUCAGAGGUGAAAUCCCGGAGCUUAACUUCGGAACUGCCUUUGAUACUGGGUGUCUUGAGUGUGAGAGAGGUAUGUGGAACUCCGAGUGUAGAGGUGAAAUUCGUAGAUAUUCGGAAGAACACCAGUGGCGAAGGCGACAUACUGGCUCAUUACUGACGCUGAGGCUCGAAAGCGUGGGGAGCAAACAGGAUUAGAUACCCCCGUAGUCCCUGAGCGGGCUGGCAAGGCGCAU
rnacentral:rRNA from 1 species